UUGAAACACUGGAAGUUAUAGAGAAAUUCUAUAGAGACAAAAAGAGUGUGGAUUUGAAUAAUCUAUCACUACUGUGUUAGCUCAUUUGCAGAGGGAUUACGUAUAUUGUCACCUGCAUAUAUGAAUGCCAUAGCACUUGGUAAAUAUUAUUUGAAGAUGAUGAUUUCGGCUGAAGCAGAGAGGAGAAGAAUUAGCAUAUUAUGGAUGAAUAUAACUUUUUAAGUUCAACUAGUCUCAAAGGUUUCAGAAGAUCCAGGAAUUUGAAGCAGGGGAAAACCAGUUAGCAGUGAUGUCUUACAAAUAUGCCUUCCUAAGUUGCAGAAGGGAUAUCCCUUCUGCAGAACCCUAGCCUCCAUUAUUGUGCCAAAUACCUAAAAAUGUUCUGUGUUCUAUAACAUUUUAAAGUGCAUUUCUUACACUAA